rnacentral:ncRNA from 1 species
AUCUUAUCGAGAUUGACUGAGGGACUGGCCCUGAGACGUCAAAGCAGCAGACCGCAAUGCGGCACUGUGCUAAUUCCUUGUACCGCGCGUACAGAGAUAAGAG